rnacentral:lncRNA from 1 species
CAACUACUAAAUAAAACCACUAAACAAUAAAAUGGAGGAUGUCAUUAUGUCAGCCUCAACUAUAACUCUAUCAGAUUUCUUUAAUUACUUUUUGUGUUAAUAUAUAUAUUCCACUUUCAUUACAAAUAUCCCAUAUAUUGCGACAAUAAGCAUACAAUGGCAGAAUACAAAAAUGAUACAUAUAUGGAUAGGUAAAUAUUUACGUAUCUUUUGUAAUAAGAUAGUGUACAUGACAUUUUAUAUGUAUUCGCUCAUUCCAAUUAAUUUUGUGAUGAUAUAUAAACCAAGAAGUUUUUUCAUAAUCUAUAGUCUCUGAUAGUUCAUCUUAAAUAGUGGUAUCCUCACUGUUCCCAGCCUCUAUUUUGAACCAAUAAUCAUUGAUCUUUCAGUUUCAUACAAUUUUGCGAACACAAGUUUUUAAUUAUUUUUAAAAAUAUCAUUUUGAAGGUUAACAUGUAUCUCAUGUAAUUAUUACAUUUACUAUGUAAAGUACAAUGAUCUGCAUACAAAUCUUAAAUGAAUUUUUAAUGUUCAGCGGAAAAUCAUUGCUGUAUGAAUAAACGAUAAAGUGCCAAGGAUAGUAGGUUGGUCCCCUCCGUAAAAUACCCAGUAUGCCUUCGGAAUAUACAAAUAUUAACGGUAUUGUCAAGGAUAUCAAUAACGGCCAGGCUAUACUACAAGGAUAGAGCCUUGUGGUACACCCGUUUUUAUAAAUUUUUAAUAAUUUAGUAGUAUAAGACAUGGCAUUAUUGACCUUAACUUAUUGAAUUCUUUCAAACAGUAUGAGUUUAACCAGUCUAGUGUAUAUUUUGUAACAUUACGAUAUUCAAG